rnacentral:rRNA from 1 species
CGGGGGGGCGGCCUACCAUGCAAGUCGAGCGAGAAAGGUCUUCGGACUGAGUACAGCGGCGGACGGGUGAGUAACGCGUAGGAAUCUACCCAGUAGUGGGGGACAACUCGGGGAAACUCGAGCUAAUACCGCAUACGCCCUAUGGGGGAAAGCGGGGGAUCUUCGGACCUCGCGCUAUUGGAUGAGCCUGCGUUGGAUUAGCUAGUUGGUGAGGUAAAGGCUCACCAAGGCGACGAUCCAUAGCUGGUCUGAGAGGACGAUCAGCCACACUGGGACUGAGACACGGCCCAGACUCCUACGGGAGGCAGCAGUGGGGAAUAUUGCGCAAUGGGGGAAACCCUGACGCAGCCAUGCCGCGUGUGUGAAGAAGGCUUUCGGGUUGUAAAGCACUUUCAGCAGCGAGAAAAAGCCGUGGGCUAAUACCUCACGGUCUUGAUGUUAACUGCACAAGAAGCACCGGCUAACUCCGUGCCAGCAGCCGCGGUAAUACGGAGGGUGCAAGCGUUAAUCGGAAUUACUGGGCGUAAAGCGCGCGUAGGCGGUUUGCUAAGUCGGAUGUGAAAGCCCCGGGCUCAACCUGGGAAUUGCAUUCGAUACUGGCAGACUGGAAUGCGGGAGAGGGAGGUAGAAUUCCAUGUGUAGCGGUGAAAUGCGUAUAUAUAUGGAGGAAUACCAGUGGCGAAUGCGGCCUCCUGCCCUGACAUUGACGCUGACGUGCGAAAGCGUGGGGGAGCAAACAGGAUUAGAUACCCUGGGUAGUCCACGCCGAUAAACGAUGUCUACUAGUCGUUGGGGUAACUUGAUUCUUUUAGUGGCGCAGCUGACGCACUACGUACAGCGCCUGGGCUGUACGGGCGCCAUGCUUCAAACUCAAAGGUACUUGGACGGGGGGGCUA